GAUUAUAAAACUACAUUAGCGAUAAAUAAUGAUCUAUUUAUCUCCUUAACAGCAACAACAAUGACAAAAUGAAUAGCUUAAUUUGUUUCCUUAUCAUUUAACUGUGUAUUUUAGAUGUUUUACUGACUUCAGAUCAAAGAUUCAGAUCAAUUUUAGGACAAUGACGUAAUAUUUGUCGACCAGCAACAUAAUCAAAACAAAGAGAUAAGGAUAUGGAUCAUGGGUGAUCAAUAAUCAGAAUCGGGGAUCAGCACACACACCAGCAGCUCAAAACCUGAGAGAAGUUCUGACACAUCUAAACACCUGAUCGGUACCUGCCCGCGUGCAUCAAUGAGCGGCCGUGAAGGCACCUGAGCACCAGUCCGUCAGGAGGCAACACGUGUCUGCACAGGAGCACACCGCAUCCUUUACCGCACGGGUACAGGUGCUGUGCAAGAGCCCGUGAGCCAGGACGUUGACCACGUCCUGGUUAGACGCGGAUGACGUAGGAGUCGGAGUGGGUGACGUAGCGGAUCCAGCGCUGAGACGGACCCGGCUGCACCGGGGACAGGCGGAGGAACCGGAUCUGAAGACCCGUCACCGUGAGCAGACAGCUGUGUCCCUCCGGCGAAUCGAGGGAUUUUCCAUUCGAUGGCUCGACUCUGCAGCUUCAGCUCAGCACUCUGGUCGGGGCUGCUGAGCUCCUGAGACACACUGAACACACACACACGCACACACACAC